CCUACGGGAGGCAGCAGUGAGGAAUAUUGGUCAAUGGUCGGGAGACUGAACCAGCCAAGCCGCGUGAGGGAGGAAGGUACAGAGUAUCGUAAACCUCUUUUGUCAGGGAACAAAGGCGGGGACGUGUCCCCGGAUGAGUGUACCUGAAGAAAAAGCAUCGGCUAACUCCGUGCCAGCAGCCGCGGUAAUACGGAGGAUGCGAGCGUUAUCCGGAUUAAGUGGGGUUAAAGGGUGCGCAGGCGGUCUGUUAAGUCAGCGGGAAAAGCCCGGGGCUCAACCCCGGCCCGCCGUUGAAACUGGCAGUCUCGAGUUGGAGAGAGGUAUGCGGAAUGCGCGGUGUAGCGGUGAAAUGCAUAGAGAUCGCGCAGAACUCCGAUUGCGAAGGCAGCAUGCCGGCUCCACACUGACGCUGAGGCGCGAAAGCGUGGGUAUCGAACAGGAUUAGAUACCCUAGUAGUC
rnacentral:rRNA from 1 species